rnacentral:rRNA from 1 species
UGGGGAAUAUUGGACAAUGGGCGCAAGCCUGAUCCAGCCAUGCCGCGUGAGUGAUGAAGGCCCUAGGGUUGUAAAGCUCUUUCGCCAGGGACGAUAAUGACGGUACCUGGAUAAGAAGUCCCGGCUAACUCCGUGCCAGCAGCCGCGGUAAUACAUAGGGUGCAAGCGUUGUCCGGAAUUAUUGGGCGUAAAGAGCUCGUAGGUGGUUGGACACGUCGGAUGUGAAAACUGGGGGCUCAACCCCCAGCC